UCGUACCUAGCAAAUAUAAAAUAUUGUAGAUCCUUGCAGUAUGAAGGGAAAAAAAUGACGGAACCUUUGAUUCAACCAAUAUUUCAAAUACUUGAAUUAUUCUCUUUAUUUAUUAGCAAUAUGGAUACAUGCAGGAGUUAAAACGCAUGCCCAUGCAUUCAUACUACAUAGAUGCUAAACUACUUGCAUGUUAUUGGUCGUGAGAGAUGAUAUGAGAUUAUAUGCCGCCACCAUGACCUCCGCCUCCCCCACCACCAGCUCCACCUCCUGCUCCCCCACCAAGACCACCACCUCCAUUUCCUCCACCAAUACCACCGCCUGUUCCACCUCCCCCACCACCAGCUCCCCCACCAAGACCACCACCUCCAUUGCCUCCACCAAUACCACCGCCUGUUCCGCCUCCAGCGCCUCCACCGCCACCAGCUCCUCCUCCAACUCCACCUCCUGCACCUCCACCAAAACCACCUCCUAUGCCUCCGCCAAUGCCACCACCUUUUCCACCACCACCACCGGCUCCUCCACCAACUCCACCUCCAGCACCACCACCGACUCCUCCCCCAACUCCACCGACUCCUCCACCACCUCCUACACCACCGCCUUUUCCACCUCCAACACCCCCACCAGUACCACCGCCGACUCCACCACCAACUCCACCGCCACCACCAAUUCCUCCCCCUUUGCCACCUCCACCACCAACUCCUCCACCUCCAGCAGCACCACCGCCUUUUCCACCUCCAACACCCCCACCAGAACCACCACCGACUCCUCCCCCAACUCCACCGCCACCACCAACUCCUCCACCUCCACCAACACCACCACCUUUUCCACCUCCAACACCACCACCAACUCCACCACCUUUGCCACCACCUUCACCUCCUCCUACGCCUCCGCCAACACCACCGCCUUUUCCACCCCCACCGCCAGCUCCUCCCCCAAAUCCUCCACCUUCACCACCCCCUUUUCC
rnacentral:lncRNA from 1 species